rnacentral:ribozyme from 1 species
UAGAAAUGCAGCACUGGUACGGGUACGGAUCCGACGCCUCUCGAAGGAUACUUAGGCUCUCCGUACCCUACUCCUACUCAAAACGUCUCCGACGUACCGCUUUUUUAUGUUCAUUUCAUGAACUUGUUCUAUUUUAAUAUGUUGCAUGUACGAGAACUGAAAGAUUAAAUAAAAAAAA